rnacentral:rRNA from 1 species
CGGACGGGUGAGUAACGCGUGAGCAACCUGCCUAGAAGAGGGGGAGUAACGACUGGAAACGGUCGCUAAUACCGCAUAACAUUCCACUGCCGCAUGGUGGAGGAAUCAAAGGAGCAAUCCGCUUUUAGAUGGGCUCGCGUCCGAUUAGCUAGUUGGUGGGGUAACGGCCUACCAAGGCGACGAUCGGUAGCCGAACUGAGAGGUUGAUCGGCCACAUUGGGACUGAGACACGGCCCAGACUCCUACGGGAGGCAGCAUG